AUCACAAAGUUUUAAUUUUACUCAAGCAGAAAUUUGUUCCACUCCUUUUAAAAAAUUAUUUCCUGCGAUUUCAUUCCAUAUUAUUCUCGGCGUUUCCAAUUAUCGGUUAAUAAAUAACAUUAUAUUAUAUUAUCCAGCUUCUCGCAAAAAUGAGGAACGGUAUUCCAUCUCAAGUUUGUUUCAACUGAGAAUACCUUAUGUUGAAUUUAAAAUACCGGAUACACCACAAUAUUCUUUACAUGAAUAUUUCUAGUAACGACAAGCGUUGAACGAUAACUACCGAUCCACGAGUACCACGAGGUCAUCGCUGCCAUCGACGUUUCAUGGAUAUUUGUGGGCUGCCUCCCUCGAACGACACGAUGAUGCAUUAUUUAUACGCGCCCGCAUAUACCACCGUCGUCGUGGUCGUCGUGCUCGUCGUCGUUAACCUGGCACAUAAUCGAUGAGAAUCCUCGCGUGCAUUGGCGCGUAUGCAAGCAACCGCGUGUGCCCGCCGACAUUUGGAGAAAUCUCCUUUGAAUUUCUGACGCAGACUUCCUGCGAUUCCAUCGAUCUCGGUUUCCGUCGUUGCAGACAAAUAUACAUACGCGAGGCCGCCCCGAGAAGAAUCGAACGCUCGUCGCUAUUCCAUUUUGUCCAUCGCGAGAUCACGUGCCGUGCGGUCGCAUGUCCGGCUAGAAACCAUUACAGUCGAACGGAUACCGUCGCUUUGAGCUCCAAUUACAAACGUUCGCAAUACGUAUUUCGAAAUUUCUCAUUGGCUGGAAGAAGAUGAAAGAUGGUGAUGUAAUACGUAACCACAGCCUUACGCGGGAGCACGCGUCACGGUAACGAAUGCAGUUCCUUCUACGCUUUGUACUUGGCAACGUUUCACAGUCGUUGAGCCGCGAUAAACAGAGACGUAGACGAGUGUUGGGUUACCGGGAUGCCUACCGUGUUACUCGCGUCGCUAUUUCCUCCUGGCAACACCUGCUUCAUUAGUCCUCCAUCUCCAGCAUUCUCAUCGGUUAAGACGAAAUCCCGGAAUCGAGAUCGUCAUUUCGUGCCCGGAUUUAUGGUCGCUCGAUAAAGGAAGAUUACGGCUCCGGGCAAGUUUCAUGUCGUCGUCGGUCUUCGGAAGGUCGUUAAGGGAAGCUCAAGGGAAACAUUGGAAUGGCUAUUCUGAAGAAUAGAUUACGUCAUGUUUCUCUAGACUCGACAAAGAUCGCCAACUUUUAUGUUGGUGGAGACCUAAUGAAACUAAGAAGAGGCAAAAAGCCUCGAAAAAGGGAUCCGAAGAGUCAUGUUUUUAAAUUUCAGAAUCGAUAGUCCUAUUAAAUAUUGUAGAACUCAAAUAAUUAAACAUUUCGAAAGAAAUAUUUAAAUUCGACACAAAUAAAUAUUUUCAGAAACCGAAAUACAUUAAUAAAAAAAAUCUAACAUUUUAAAUCAAGAUACGUUUACAUUUAAUUUUCUUGUUAUAAAUUUCGACAUUUUAAAUCAAGAUACGUUUAUAUUUAAUUUUCUUGUUAUAAAUUUAAGAAAUUUAGAGAUCGAGGAAAGUUAAAAGGUAAAAGCAAUUAAAAAUUCAUGGACUUCUGAAGCGUAUGUCAACAAAUUCAAAGAUUUUCAAAUCUAAAAAUUCACUAUAAAAAUGAAAGCAUAUGUUAAGAUGCUUUUUGUUUAUUACAAAAAUGUUAAUUGCAUAAUAAUGUUAUUUGGCGUUUUGAGAUUUACCUUGUUACAAUGAUUGGAAAGAUAAUAUUCUUUCUAACUAUAUAAAAUUGAGGCAUCUAUUAUAGCAAAUGAUGCAAAGAAAUGCUUUAUUCUAAUCGCCUCAUUGUUAUUCUUCAAAUUUUCUUACAUGUACAAGGUAUAGAACAAAGCUGUAAAUCUUAUAUAAUAUGUCUUGUAAAUUUUGCAGCAGAUGUUACAAACUAAAAAUUGUUUUACUUUGCUUUUCAAUUAUUUUGUAUUUAUUGUAUUGCUAAUAUUAUAGUAGUAAGAGGAGCUAAUGAAACUCAUUUGAAUUUGUAUUAAAGUUACUAAUCCUAAAACGCUUAUGCAUUACGAGUGCAAAUUUUAUAAACGGCAUCGUAGAAUUUUAUCGAGAGUGUUAUUUAUUUGAUGAGAUUUAUAUUGAUUAUUUUUGAGAGUCUACAUUUCUACACUGGAGUAUUUUCGCAGCACAUUAAAUGCCAGCUUUGUCAAAAUGAAUAUUAAUUCCGAAAUGAAUAUUACGCCGUUAAUGUUAUGCGCAGUCAAUAUCCACUGUUUAAAUGGUCGAUCAUUGUCGAGAGAACAUAUAUCCGUCAAGUAUAAUAAAUAAAAUCGGUUAAUACUCUUUAGUCAGAAGAGGAUUGCGACCGAUUACGAGAAAUAAAGCUGGUUUGCAUGCAUUUAUUGUACCGGGAAAGAUUAUUAUGUGAAAUGGGAUUGUACAUAUGUGAAAUAAUUUAUGACGAUUGAAAAACCUUUCUCUAACUAAAUCGGAGUGUAAUGUAUGUACGUGAAUCAAUUCUUGCAAAUACAUGUAUUUCUUCUCGGUU